GCCCGAUUUGGAUUUGUACAUAUAGGACAAAUGCUCCCAUUACCAUUUCUUUUUGUAUUUUUUUCAAUUCAUUUUAUACAAGUAUUUAUUAGAGUUGAGAUAACUUUGCUUGACAAUUAGGAUCUCUUUACAAAGAAAAAUAUGAAUAGUAAUCAAUAGAUAUCUUACCAAUCCAAUUGGGUUUUUUCUAAACGGAGCCUGGAUACUUCAUUUUUUUAGUCCAACCAAGACAACCAUAAAUUAUUCUAAUU
rnacentral:lncRNA from 1 species